CACGGUUAUGCAUGUAUUUUACAUUGAUUCUAUUAUGCCAGGGACACCUAAGAUGGAUUUUGACACUGAAGCAAUCUGACCAUCACUGUCUUGGACUGACCAGAGGUCACCUCAGCCUCUUCCAUCCCACCGUGCUUUCACAGCUGCCAAAAUGGGCCAUGAUGGGUUAGUAAGCCCCGGUGACCAUGGCUACCCUAUCAGGUUCUUCAGCCCUGCCCUGGAAGACGGUGGCCACACCCUACAUGUCUCAAGCCUUAUCUCCAGCAGGAAGCUGUCAGUCCUCUCCCCUGAAUUUCCCCCAUUCGGAUCUUUUCUUCCGCAGCCCAGCCCCCUUUUAAGCUCAUGACCCUGUCAAAGACCCCAUGGCUUAACCAAGAGUAGGUCACUGCCUUGACUGUACCUGACUGUGUGGUUCAGCGCCUGUGGACCUGGCUGUGGGAGGAGUCUGGAAAGGUUUGGAGGUGCCAGCUAGAGGAGCCCGGAUUCCAGCAGCUACUAGGUGGUGGAGUGAAAAUUAUUAAGAACUGAUAAACCUCGAAAAAGCCUGAAAGAAUAAAAAUGAUAACGUUGUCGUCCAGGGAGGCACUGAAGCAAGCCAGGGAGAGAUUUCACAUUUUAAAAUCACUGCCUCAACAAAUAAACAGUUAUAAACUACGGCUUCUUAUUUUAUUUGGACCUGUGGGCAGGCUGCUGGCAGGUACUUUUCAAGGAAAAGUAGACGGUGGCCAGGGGUGAACCCCGGAGUGGGAAUUUCUGGAGCCCCGGCUUCCUGUGAGAGACAGAGGUCAGCAGCAGAGACCGCUCCACUUGCUUUCCAGAGCAACCUUCUGGGCAGUGGUUUCCAGGCAGAGUGAGGCUCUGGGAAGCAAAGGAGGGUGUGAAAGCUUCUUCCCCCGGUGUCGGGCCAGCUGCCUCGGUCUCUUCCCCAGACGCUGGGCCGCGGGGGCAGAAGAGGUGGACGGAGGCCCACCGAGGACGCCGACAGUGGCCUCCAGUCCCUGAGUUCUUCCUCCUGGGAGCAGCCCUGGGCACAGCCACAUUUGGGCUGUGGGGGUGGUCGGGAGCCUUGGGGACCCUGAGGUGGGCCUGUGAUUUCCAGAGGAGGUUCCAGAGAAGAGAAAUGCAGACACCAAGGCCACACUCUGUCCAGGGGAAGUGGUGAUUGGAGUGGGGCAAACCAGUUAAGCCACUGUGCAGUGCUGCCAGGCAUGGAGACCCAAGACACAGGUGCAGAGCACAGAGUCCGAGCUCCUAAAUCUGUACUUGGGCCAAUCAGAAAAGUGCCACUUUUAACUCUUCAUUUACGUAUGGCAUCAAACCAAGUGUGCCUUUGAAAGGAAAGCUUCAGUCUGAUGUCAGAACUGGGGAAGUCAGGAGCAAAGGAAGCAGGGUUUACAUUUAUUGAAGGCAGGAGAAGUGCACUGAGCAUGGUGAGUGGGCCGCACUGGAAGGGAGAGCAGGUGGUUGUGAGGCCGUUUGUGUCCCCCGCUCCUCAGGCUGACAUCAGGUCCAGCUCAUCCUCCUGAAACCCAGCGUACUCUCACACAGGAACUGAAGGUGGCUCUUUCUAGCUGGUGCCAGGUGUGAGGCUUGGGAGCUGUUUUUUCUGUUCCUGUGUGCUAGUUCUCGGUGACUGACAAGCCAGGCCCACCUGCCCAGCCGGCUGGCCAAGUCUCCAUCUCCUGCCGAAGGCCAGGGCGCUCGGGCCUCUGCGCUCUGUACCCAGAGUCCAGGAGGCCUGGGGAGAGGAGGUGGUGCCGGCGGGACCGGCCUCAGGCUGCAGCGAGUGACCACCGUGCUCCGCCGUCCAGGCCUUUCACAACACGGAAGGCGGGGAGCAGGCCGUGGUGACCCGCACAGCGCCCCGCCGAGUGUGCCCAGCCCU